rnacentral:rRNA from 1 species
AGUACAGGCGGUUUUUUAAGUCUGAUGUGAAAGCCUUCGGCUUAACCGAAGAAAUGCAUUGGAAACUGGGAAACUUGAGUGCAGAAGAGGAGAGUGGAACUCCAUGUGUAGCGGUGAAAUGCGUAGAUAUAUGGAAGAACACCAGUGGCGAAGGCGGCUCUCUGGUCUGUAACUGACGCUGAGGCCCGAAAGCGUGGGUAGCAAACA